rnacentral:lncRNA from 1 species
UUCAUUUCGAAAUAUAAAGAGAAAUUUUCUAUUUUAUUCAUCGAUUAUCGAUAUUAAAACCAAUUUUCUUAUUCAUUUUCUUAUUUCAGGAUAUCUUCCCGUUUCGGAGAACACGUUGCGCGAACGAUCUCGGUCGGUCGAAAAGCGUAGAAUUUUACAUGGAAUUUUAUAUGGAAUGGAUUUCCAUCCGAGUCUGGUAACAAACGAAAAACCAUGGAAUUGAAUUUACGGCCAAUGAGGAAAAUCUGGAAGAGUUCCAACUACUGUGCACGCUGUGUACGAAAAUUGGGAGGAGAGGGAGAAAACGAUCGGCCAUUUGGCAAAUUAGCGGGCGAAAACGAAUCGUCGAUUGGCUACGCGUUGCAUUGUUCGUGACAAUUAGUCGCUCUUCUCGCCGGGGAGGGACGAAUUAGGCUCCGAUGAAAAGGAACAUCGAGAGGGAAGAAACGAAAGAGAAAAGAGAAGGGAGAAAAAAAAGGAAGAACAAAAGAGAAAAUUCACGCGCUCGUAAACGCUCGUGUUUCGAUCUGAGAACAAAGAGGGAGAAGAAAAAAAGGGGAACAAGAGCAACGUUCAAUCGAUAGAUGUGAUCUCCAAAAAAUUAUUAUUUAAUUAUCGAUUCCAUUCUAAUCGUCUCCCUUAAGAAAUUCCAUUGAACCUGUCACGAUUCCACGUUAUACGAUUAUAACAAUUUUUUUAUUUCGGAUAUUAAUUUUAAACGAACGAAAGAUCGUGAAAUCGAUCGAGAAGAAUUUUCACGAUUCGCGUCCAACGGAUUUUCGAAAAAAAAAACUCGUUAAUGGGGAACGCAUCCCAGACACGUACGUACACAGAGAAUCGCGAAUCACGCGGAUUCCUUCUAUCAUCGGUAUAAUUACAUUUGCCAUUGGACAACCUGCUUGCACGGGGGGACGACACGUGGCCUCGAUGUACGUGUAUCGAUGCACACGCUCGCGUAGCGUGUAAGUGGAUUCUAACGCGAUAUAGCAACGUGACUGACUAUUUGCUUGUCGGACAAUAAAAUCGCUUAACCGGAAUAGAUUAGCGUUCGAAGGGGUCAACGGAAACUCGAUUCGAAUUGAAUCAUUUUUAUUUCUUUCUUUCUUUCUUUCUUUCUUCGUCUCCUUCUCCAAUUUUAUCCAAGUUAAAAAUUCAAAAUUUACGAAAUUUUCUAAAAGAAAUUCCAAAUUUAUUCUUUUCCCUAUAUUGGAAUUAAAAUGGAUCAAGAGACAAGUACAAGUUCAAGUUUUUCCUUUCUUUUUUUUUUUCUUGCUCGCAGAAAAAAGAAUAUCGCUUAACCGGAAUAGAUUAGCGUUCGAAGAGGUCAACGGAAACUCGAUUCGAAUUGAAUCAUUUUUAUUUCUUUCUUUCUUUCUUUCUUUCUUCGUCUCCUUCUCCAAUUUUAUCCAAGUUAAAAAUUCAAAAUUUACGAAAUUUUCUAAAAGAAAUUCCAAAUUUAUUCUUUUCCCUAUAUUGGAAUUAAAAUGGAUCAAGAGACAAGUACAAGUUCAAGUUUUUCUUUUCUUUUUCUUUUUUUGCUCGCAGAAAAAAGAAUAUCCGCGCGAGGAGGGCCCGAAUUGCGUAACCGGCCUCCAUCCUCCUCGUCCAUCAAUUUUAUUCUACGCGUUAUUUCGCCGGGUAACGAGAACGAGACUGGAGGUCGAAGAGGGAACAACACGAACCAGAUAUCACCAGUCGCGCCUCUUAUCAGUCUAUUACGACAGUAAUAACACUCUUAAUUUCAUCGACUCGCGGAUCGAUGCCUGCGCUACACCACACAUCAUCAUCAUCGUCAUCAUCAUCAUCAUCAUCAUCGCCAUUACCAUCGCCAUCCAUCAAACGCGACGACGCGUUUGGAUAAUGAUGGGACAAACGAGGGAUUUAGAAAGAAAGAAAAAGAAAGAAAAAGCAAUUUUCCAAAAUCGAUGGAACCGUUUCUUCCGUGGAAAAUCUCUAGUUGCAAGUUGGAUCGAGAAUUUUUUUUUUUCUUUUUUUUUUUCCCUCCCCCCGCUUCGUUUCGAGCGAUUCGACUAAUUGCUUUUCUUUCUCGGUACUUUCCGCCCGGUUGGACGGGGAGAUACGGGAGAACUACACGAGUUUCUGUUUGAAAAUCGGUUUAGGAGAUUUCGAUGGAGGGCGAACACCGUGCGAGAUUUAAACUUGCCACUUUCCACGCUGUUUCUCCGUUAAUUAGAUGUCACCGCUCGUUCUCCUUCUCUCCGAAUUUCUCUCUUAUCUUCGAUUUUGUUCUUGUUGUUAUUAUUAUUAUUAUUAUUAUCGUCGUCGUAUCAACAUCGUAUGACGUGGAUUUCGAGAAGCGGAAAAAAUGGAAGGAAGCGAAGA